rnacentral:rRNA from 1 species
UACGGAGGAGGCAAGCGUUAUCCGGAAUUAUUGGGCGUAAAGCGUCCGUAGGUGGUUUUUCCAGUCGGCUGUUAAAGAGCAAAGCUCAACUUUGUAAAGGCAGUGGAAACUGAAAGACUAGAGAGCCGUAGGGGUAGAGGGAAUUCCCGGUGUAGCGGUGAAAUGCGUAGAGAUCGGGAAGAAAAACGGUGGCGAAAGCGCUCUACUGGACGGGAUCUGACACUCACAGGACGAAAGCUAGGGGAGCGAAUGGG